AACGAACGCUGGCGGCAUGCCUAAUACAUGCAAGUCGAACGAGAUCUUCGGAUCUAGUGGCGCACGGGCGCGUAACGCGUGGGAAUCUACCCUUGGGUUCGGAAUAACAGUUAGAAAUGACUGCUAAUACCGGAUGAUGACGUAAGUCCAAAGAUUUAUCGCCCAAGGAUGAGCCCGCGUAGGAUUAGCUUGUUGGUGAGGUAAAAGCUCACCAAGGCGACGAUCCUUAGCUGGUCUGAGAGGAUGAUCAGCCACACUGGGACUGAGACACGGCCCAGACUCCUACGGGAGGCAGCAGUAGGGAAUAUUGGACAAUGGGGGCAACCCUGAUCCAGCAAUGCCGCGUGAGUGAUGAAGGCCUUAGGGUUGUAAAGCUCUUUUACCCGAGAUGAUAAUGACAGUAUCGGGAGAAUAAGCUCCGGCUAACUCCGUG
rnacentral:rRNA from 1 species